rnacentral:miRNA from 1 species
GGUCUUUCUCCCUAUCAAGCG